rnacentral:lncRNA from 1 species
UAAAUAACAAACUUGAUACCUCAAUCAAACCAAUAUGGAAACCAAACCAAUCAGGAAUUCUAACUUCCUCACCUAAAUCGUAUACUGAAUCAUCAAAUGUGUAGUGCUCCCCUCACUCUAGAAUUCAUGGAUGUGCAUGUUAGUUAUUCUCCUGUUUUGACUCCCUCAAAUACAAAUCCACCUUAGUAAGACAAUAAAUCUAGAUGCAUAAGCUGAUUUACAUGCUAAGUAGGAGAUAUAUUUAUGCAAAAGCUAAUGACAGUCCUAGUCUACCACACUUUGAACAUGU